rnacentral:misc_RNA from 1 species
ACCGAACCGAACCGAAAUAACCGAUAACCGAAAAUCCCAUAAAUUGUAAACCGAACCGAACCGUUUAUUGGAGAAAAACCGAACCUAACCGAACCAAUUAUUAUCGGUUCGGUUCGGUUCGGUUAAUGAAAAACCGAAAUUUCAAUUUUUUUUCAAAUGCCAAAUAGACCUGCUUGACCUGUAAAUUGCAAUUUUUUUUCAAAUGCCAAACAGACCUGCUUGACCUGUAAAUUGCAAUUUUUUUUCAAAUGCCAAAC